UUUCUUUCUGGAAUCAUUUUGUAAUUAGUUCUACUAUUGCCUUCUAAAGAGGAAAGAUUCUUACCAAAGUUGGAUCUUUGUCUGGCCCUUAUAAGCAUUCAGAUGUGCUGGGCCCCGAAGAUCCUGCUAUUUACAGAAAAGCACAAACCCAACAAUGAAAGCUGAAAAACCACGGGCAUAGCCUGAAGGCUGCGCCCCCAACUACUGCCUCUCAGUGUCCUAGCAGAGAAGCCCCGGCGCGAGACUGCAAGCCACUGCAGGCUGCAGAGAAAGCAGCUCCCUCCCGGCUCUGGCAGCGAAGAGAAGGCUCCCGUCUCCCGUCUCCCGCAAGGGAGAGAAAUCUGUCCAUCCCAGCAGCCACCCAGCUCACCCCAAAUGAUCAGACCACCUAAGCUUCCAAAACAACCCGGGUGGUGGCGGGGCGAAGGAAACAUGUGGCUGUCGUGAGCUUUCCUGGAACAUCAUCUGUCUCUAAGUUUCCAGUGCUCACUGAGGUCAGUUUUCCUUUCUGCAAAUCACAGGCAGCCACUUGCUUCUAAGAAGUUAACAAGCCUCCUGAGAAAUGCUGGUGGCUGACAUUUCAUUGUUUCAAAAAUAUUUUUAAACAGUGACACCACUCAACUUUAAUCUUCAAAAAGAAAGACGAUUUUUAAAAAGUGGCAAACUCUGAUGUGGAUUUUAUUUUCGUGGACGCAAUCUAAGAGAGUCGGGCGGCCGCGCUCAGAGCUCAGGACUUGCGGGAGAAGUUUCUGCAGAGUCCGGGCUCCGGACACAAGGGCCGCCUUCCCUCCCAGCCUGCCGCCGUGGGUCCCGCGCCUCUGACUCCCUGAAAGUUCACGGCCUUCUGAGGCUGCCCCGCCGCUGGGAAGAGGAGCCCAGCGCAGGCGCGAAGGGAAUGCAUCCCGGAGCUCGCCGCGGUAGUCCUGCAGGGAGGAUCGCUCUGGAAAUCCAGUGCACUCAGCCCCGCGGGGUGCACUUCUCACAAGUACCGGCUGCGGGGGAAAUGCUGCGCCCGGAUACUACACGUCGUCCUUGCCUUUUUGGGAAAAGUUCAUUUUAAUAAUAAAAGGAUAAUUUGAACCCUGACUUUGGAGCUAGUGACACAGGUUUGGUAAAU
rnacentral:lncRNA from 1 species